ensembl:misc_RNA RN7SKP235 RN7SK pseudogene 235
GGAUGUGAGGGCAAUCCGGCUGCGACAUCUGUCACCCCACUAAUCACCAGAGUUGAUUUCAGCUGAUCUAGCUGGCUAGAUUGGUAUUAACUUCCUCCCUCACUGCUCUGUGUGCAUCUCUCCCAAAGCUGUGUGCUUGGUCAAAGAGGACGACCCUCCCUAAUAGAGGAGGACCACUCUUUGGUCAAGAAUAUACGAGUAGCUGUGCUUCCCUCACAGAAUCCCCAAACAAGCUCUCAAGAUUUUGGAGAGCAAAAGAGAGGCAGCAGCCAUUUUAUUUUUACAUUCAAGACAAGCAGGCGCUU